rnacentral:rRNA from 1 species
AAUCCAUAGGUUAAUGAGGCGAACCGGGGGAACUGAAACAUCUAAGUACCCCGAGGAAAAGAAAUCAACCGAGAUUCCCCCAGUAGCGGCGAGCGAACGGGGAGGAGCCCAGAGCCUGAAUCAGCAUGUGUGUUAGUGGAAGCGUCUGGAAAGGCGCGCGAUACAGGGUGACAGCCCCGUACACAAAAGCGCAUGUGCUGUGAGCUCGAUGAGUAGGGCGGGACACGUGGUAUCCUGUCUGAAUAUGGGGGGACCAUCCUCCAAGGCUAAAUACUCCUGACUGACCGAUAGUGAACCAGUACCGUGAGGGAAAGGCGAAAAGAACCCCGGCGAGGGGAGUGAAAAAGAACCUGAAACCGUGUACGUACAAGCAGUGGGAGCACAGGUUUACCUGUGUGACUGCGUACCUUUUGUAUAAUGGGUCAGCGACUUAUAUUCUGUAGCAAGGUUAACCGAAUAGGGGAGCCGGAGGGAAACCGAGUCUUAAUUGGGCGUUAAGUUGCAGGGUAUAGACCCGAAACCCGGUGAUCUAGCCAUGGGCAGGUUGAAGGUUGGGUAACACUAACUGGAGGACCGAACCGACUAAUGUUGAAAAAUUAGCGGAUGACCUGUGGCUGGGGGUGAAAGGCCAAUCAAACCGGGAGAUAGCUGGUUCUCCCCGAAAGCUAUUUAGGUAGCGCCUCGUGAAUUCAUCUCCGGGGGUAGAGCACUGUUUCGGCUAGGGGGCCAUCCCGGCUUACCAACCCGAUGCAAACUGCGAAUACCGGAGAAUGUUAUCACGGGAGACACACGGCGGGUGCUAACGUCCGUCGUGAAGAGGGAAACAACCCAGACCGCCAGCUAAGGUCCCAAAGUCAUGGUUAAGUGGGAAACGAUGUGGGAAGGCCCAGACAGCCAGGAUGUUGGCUUAGAAGCAGCCAUCAUUUAAAGAAAGCGUAAUAGCUCACUGGUCGAGUCGGCCUGCGCGGAAGAUGUAACGGGGCUAAACCAUGCACCGAAGCUGCGGCAGCGAACGUAUCACUUAAAGCGAUUCAGCGGGUUACGAUUGACGGAGCGAAGCGACGUCAAAGCGUAUACAAAGUCGAGUCGGUUUAAGGAUACGUUCGUUGGGUAGGGGAGCGUUCUGUAAGCCUGUGAAGGUGGCCUGUGAGGGUUGCUGGAGGUAUCAGAAGUGCGAAUGCUGACAUAAGUAACGAUAAAGCGGGUGAAAAGCCCGCUCGCCGGAAGACCAAGGGUUCCUGUCCAACGUUAAUCGGGGCAGGGUGAGUCGACCCCUAAGGCGAGGCCGAAAGGCGUAGUCGAUGGGAAACGGGUUAAUAUUCCCGUACUUGGUGUUACUGCGAAGGGGGGACGGAGAAGGCUAUGUUGGCCGGGCGACGGUUGUCCCGGUUUAAGCGUGUAGGUGUGUGUUCCAGGUAAAUCCGGUUCACUUUAACACUGAGGCGUGAUGACGAGGCACUACGGUGCUGAAGCAACAAAUGCCCUGCUUCCAGGAAAAGCCUCUAAGCAUCAGGUAACAUCAAAUCGUACCCCAAACCGACACAGGUGGUCAGGUAGAGAAUACCAAGGCGCUUGAGAGAACUCGGGUGAAGGAACUAGGCAAAAUGGUGCCGUAACUUCGGGAGAAGGCACGCUGACACGUAGGUGAAGUGAUUUACUCACGGAGCUGAAGUCAGUCGAAGAUACCAGCUGGCUGCAACUGUUUAUUAAAAACACAGCACUGUGCAAACACGAAAGUGGACGUAUACGGUGUGACGCCUGCCCGGUGCCGGAAGGUUAAUUGAUGGGGUCAGCGCAAGCGAAGCUCCUGAUCGAAGCCCCGGUAAACGGCGGCCGUAACUAUAACGGUCCUAAGGUAGCGAAAUUCCUUGUCGGGUAAGUUCCGACCUGCACGAAUGGCGUAAUGAUGGCCAGGCUGUCUCCACCCGAGACUCAGUGAAAUUGAACUCGCUGUGAAGAUGCAGUGUACCCGCGGCAAGACGGAAAGACCCCGUGAACCUUUACUAUAGCUUGACACUGAACAUUGAGCCUUGAUGUGUAGGAUAGGUGGGAGGCUUUGAAGUGUGGACGCCAGUCUGCAUGGAGCCGACCUUGAAAUACCACCCUUUAAUGUUUGAUGUUCUAACGUGGACCCGUAAUCCGGGUUGCGGACAGUGUCUGGUGGGUAGUUUGACUGGGGCGGUCUCCUCCUAAAGAGUAACGGAGGAGCACGAAGGUUGGCUAAUCCUGGUCGGACAUCAGGAGGUUAGUGCAAUGGCAUAAGCCAGCUUGACUGCGAGCGUGACGGCGCGAGCAGGUGCGAAAGCAGGUCAUAGUGAUCCGGUGGUUCUGAAUGGAAGGGCCAUCGCUCAACGGAUAAAAGGUACUCCGGGGAUAACAGGCUGAUACCGCCCAAGAGUUCAUAUCGACGGCGGUGUUUGGCACCUCGAUGUCGGCUCAUCACAUCCUGGGGCUGAAGUAGGUCCCAAGGGUAUGGCUGUUCGCCAUUUAAAGUGGUACGCGAGCUGGGUUUAGAACGUCGUGAGACAGUUCGGUCCCUAUCUGCCGUGGGCGCUGGAGAACUGAGGGGGGCUGCUCCUAGUACGAGAGGACCGGAGUGGACGCAUCACUGGUGUUCGGGUUGUCAUGCCAAUGGCACUGCCCGGUAGCUAAAUGCGGA